rnacentral:rRNA from 1 species
GACGAACGCUGGCGGCGUGCCUAAUACAUGCAAGUCGAACGCAGUGGGGACGGGUGAGUAACACGUGGGUAACCUCCCAUCAGAGGGGAUAACACUUGGAAACAGGUGCUAAACCGAUACUGAUGGAUGGACCCGCGGUGCAUUAGCGAGUUGGUGAGGUAACGGCUCACCAAGGCCACGAUUCAUAGCCGGCCUGAGAGGGGGAUCCGGCACCCUGGGACUGAGACACGGCCCAGACCCCUACGGGAGGCAGCAGUGGGGAAGCUUUGGCAAUGGACGAAAGUCUGACCCAGCCACGCCGCGUGAGUGAAGAAGGUUUUCGGGUCGUAAAACUCUGUUGGUAGGGAAGCGGUAUCUAACCAGGAAGCCACGACUAACUACGUGCCAGCAGCCGCGGUAAUUC